rnacentral:lncRNA from 1 species
GACCACUAAGUUAAAAAGGGUAAAAAUCUCUUAUUUGAAUUGGCAAAGACCUAUAAAAAUCUCUUAUUUGAAUUGGCAAAGACAUAUAAUAAAAUUUGCUUAAAUUUGCUACUCCCAAAUUUCACUUCAACAUGGAUAUACACUUUGACAAUAGAUAUGAUCCUGAAAAAAAUAAAAAGGUUUUUUUCUCAUAAGAUAUCAAAGCCUUUCCAAUCAAUAACAUAUCAAAGUCUUUAUAAUAAUAACAAUAGUAUAUUUUAUGAGGAAUGUAUAAUAUUUUACUCACAAUAAUAUAUGUGCUCAAAGGAAACAUGUUAAUUUUGCUCCAUCAUCUUCUUAGUUACCAUCCUUUGAACUCAACCUGCAAUAUUAUACAGUGAGGGUGUCAAAAAAUAGCACUUAAUUUUGUAACACGGUAAUAUGAGGAAGACAAAUAAGCAAAAUUUCCCUAACAUGAGUUUGCAUUUGUAUAUUAUUAAGAUUGGAUAAAAGAAAACAUAUACAUACUUCAGUCAACUAUAUACAAAACAGAGCAAAGUGAUCUUUAAACUAUGAGAAUCUACUUUUUUAAAACUUUAGACCAUUACAAACUGAGCUAUAUACUAUUUAGAUUGUCAUGAAGCAUGAUAUAAUAUAUCUAAUAG